rnacentral:snRNA from 1 species
CCACCGAAACAGUGGCAAUG